rnacentral:rRNA from 1 species
UACGUAGGUGGCAAGCGUUGUCCGGAAUUACUGGGCGUAAAGAGCGCGCAGGCGGCUGGUCAAGUCCGAUGUGAAAGCUCCCGGCUUAACUGGGAAAUUGCAUCGGAAACUGAUCGGCUUGAAGGUGGGAGAGGGUAGUGGAAUUCCCGGUGUAGUGGUGAAAUGCGUAGAUAUCGGGAGGAACACCAGUGGCGAAGGCGACUACCUGGCCCACUCUUGACGCUGAGGCGCGAAAGCUAGGGGAGCGA